rnacentral:rRNA from 1 species
UACGGGGGGGGCAAGCGUUGUUCGGAAUUACUGGGCGUAAAGGGUUCGUAGGCGGCUUGUUAAGUCAGACGUGAAAUCCCUCGGCUCAACCGGGGAACUGCGUCUGAGACUGAUGAGCUCGAGUGCAGGAGAGGAACGCGGAAUUCCAGGUGUAGCGGUGAAAUGCGUAGAUAUCUGGAGGAACACCGGUGGCGAAGGCGGCGUUCUGGACUGCAACUGACACUGAGGAACGAAAGCCAGGGGAGCAAACGGG